rnacentral:rRNA from 1 species
CCCAAGGGUUGGGCUGUUCGCCCAUUAAAGCGGUACGCGAGCUGGGUUCAGAACGUCGUGAGACAGUUCGGUCCCUAUCUGUCGUGGGCGCAGGAAAUUUGAGAGGAGCUGUCCUUAGUACGAGAGGACCGGGAUGGACGUACCGCUGGUGCACCAGUUGUUCCGCCAGGAGCAUGGCUGGGUAGCUACGUACGGACGGGAUAAGCGCUGAAAGCAUCUAAGCGUGAAGCCCCCCUCAAGAUGAGAUUUCCCAGCAUGUAAGACCCCUUGAAGACGACGAGGUAGAUAGGUUGGAGGUGGAAGCACGGCAACGUGUGGAGCUGACCAAUACUAAUCGGUCGAGGGCUUAUCCA